rnacentral:rRNA from 1 species
UACCAUGCAGUCGAACGGUAACAGGAAGCAGCUUGCUGCUUCGCUGACGAGUGGCGGACGGGUGAGUAAUGUCUGGGAAACUGCCUGAUGGAGGGGGAUAACUACUGGAAACGGUAGCUAAUACCGCAUAACGUCGCAAGACCAAAGAGGGGGACCUUCGGGCCUCUUGCCAUCGGAUGUGCCCAGAUGGGAUUAGCUAGUAGGUGGGGUAACGGCUCACCUAGGCGACGAUCCCUAGCUGGUCUGAGAGGAUGACCAGCCACACUGGAACUGAGACACGGUCCAGACUCCUACGGGAGGCAGCAGUGGGGAAUAUUGCACAAUGGGCGCAAGCCUGAUGCAGCCAUGCCGCGUGUAUGAAGAAGGCCUUCGGGUUGUAAAGUACUUUCAGCGGGGAGGAAGGCGAUAAGGUUAAUAACCUUGUCGAUUGACGUUACCCGCAGAAGAAGCACCGGCUAACUCCGUGCCAGCAGCCGCGGUAAUACGGAGGGUGCAAGCGUUAAUCGGAAUUACUGGGCGUAAAGCGCACGCAGGCGGUCUGUCAAGUCGGAUGUGAAAUCCCCGGGCUCAACCUGGGAACUGCAUUCGAAACUGGCAGGCUAGAGUCUUGUAGAGGGGGGUAGAAUUCCAGGUGUAGCGGUGAAAUGCGUAUAGAUCUGGAGGAAUACCGGUGGCGAAGGCGGCCCCCUGGACAAAGACUGAC